rnacentral:siRNA from 1 species
UUAACUUUCAGCAAUGUGCAC